CUCCAGACUCCUACGGGAGGCAGCAGUGGGGAAUAUUGCACAAUGGGGGAAACCCUGAUGCAGCGACGCCGCGUGAGCGAAGAAGUAUCUCGGUAUGUAAAGCUCUAUCAGCAGGGAAGAAAAUGACGGUACCUGACUAAGAAGCCCCGGCUAACUACGUGCCAGCAGCCGCGGUAAUACGUAGGGGGCAAGCGUUAUCCGGAUUUACUGGGUGUAAAGGGAGCGUAGACGGCAGCGCAAGUCUGGAGUGAAAUGCCGGGGCCCAACCCCGGAACUGCUCUGGAAACUGUGAAGCUGGAGUGCAGGAGAGGUAAGCGGAAUUCCUGGUGUAGCGGUGAAAUGCGUAGAUAUCAGGAGGAACACCGGCGGCGAAGGCGGCUUACUGGACUGUAACUGACGUUGAGGCUCGAAGGCGUGGGGAGCAAACAGGAUUAGAUACCCGAGUA
rnacentral:rRNA from 1 species